rnacentral:rRNA from 1 species
UACGUAGGGUGCAAGCGUUGUCCGGAAUUAUUGGGCGUAAAGAGCUCGUAGGCGGUCUGUCACGUCGGACGUGAAAAUCCAGGGCUCAACCCUGGACCUGCGUUCGAUACGGGCAGACUAGAGUUCGGUAGGGGAGACUGGAAUUCCUGGUUUAGCGGUGAAAUGCGCAGAUAUCAGGAGGAACACCGGUGGCGAAGGCGGGUCUCUGGGCCGAAACUGACGCUGAGGAGCGAAAGCCAGGGGAGCAAACGGG